AUAAUAUAAUGACCACAAAACAUACAAUGCAAACAAACUGGCCUAAUUAUGUGAGUAUAAAUGUACUAUUUGGACAGUGGCAUGUUAUUUUGCAACCAAAGUUUUGAGUAAAAUGAGAGCUUUAACAUUCUUGACUAUUCUGACAUUGACGGUACUGUUAGUGGUGGAGCAAUCGGAAUCAACACGGAAUGUUUGUCCACAGAUAAUGUGUCCUAACGAUCAUAAAAUUCCGAAAAAAUGCAGACAACCAAAUUUUAUAGUUGGUAUAGACGGCAAGACCCAGUGUCGAGUAUGCGAUUCCAAUGGCUGUGCAAGAAGUUAACGUAGAAAAGGCGAUCAAUGGAACAUAAUUUUUUGUUUUCUGUAUUCAGAAUGUACACUGCUGCUUAAGACAAAUAGAAUAUGAAAUAAAC